GGACUACCGGGGUAUCUAAUCCUGUUUGCUCCCCACGCUUUCGCGCCUCAGCGUCAGUAACGAGCCAGAAAGCCGCCUUCGCCUCUGAUGUUCCUCCUAAUAUCUACGAAUUUCACCUCUACACUAGGAAUUCCGCUUUCCUCUCUCGUCCUCUAGGUAUACCGUUUCAUGCGCAAUUCCCAGGUUAAGCCCGGGGCUUUCACGCUUGACUAAUAUUCCCGCCUACGCGCCCUUUACGCCCAGUCAUUCCGAACAACGCUAGCACCCUCUGUCUUACCGCGGCUGCUGGCAC
rnacentral:rRNA from 1 species